rnacentral:rRNA from 1 species
GUGGGGAAUAUUGGACAAUGGGCGCAAGCCUGAUCCAGCCAUGCCGCGUGAGUGAUGAAGGCCUUAGGGUUGUAAAGCUCUUUCGUCAGGGAAGAUAAUGACGGUACCUGAAGAAGAAGCCCCGGCUAACUUCGUGCCAGCAGCCGCGGUAAUACGAAGGGGGCUAGCGUUGCUCGGAAUCACUGGGCGUAAAGCGCACGUAGGCGGCUUUCUAAGUCAGUGGUGAAAUCCUGGAGCUCAACUCCAGAACUGCCUUUGAUACUGGAGAGCUUGAGUUCGGGAGAGGUGAGUGGAACUGCGAGUGUAGAGGUGAAAUUCGUAGAUAAUCGCAAGAACACCAGGGGGGAAGGCGGCUCACUGGCCCGAUACUGACGCUGGAGUGCGAAAGCGUGGGGAGCAAACAGGAUUAGAUACCCGUGUAGUCC